UACGAAGGGGGCUAGCGUUGUUCGGAAUCACUGGGCGUAAAGCGCAUGCAGGCGGAUUGUUAAGUCGGGGGUGAAAUCCCGAGGCUCAACCUCGGAACUGCCUUCGAUACUGGCAAUCUUGAGUCCGGGAGAGGUGAGUGGAACUGCGAGUGUAGAGGUGAAAUUCGUAGAUAUUCGGAAGAACACCAGUGGCGAAGGCGGCUCACUGGUCCGGUACUGACGCUGAGGUGCGAAAGCGUGGGGAGCAAACAGG
rnacentral:rRNA from 1 species